ACACCCUCACAUUACCUGAGCCAAAAGAGGAAACAAUGCAGGGUGGAGCGGCUGACUUCCUUCCACGUAUAACAUUAUACUGCCGCACGUCCUUUUGGCAAGGCAGGAGAAACGGCGAAAGCGAUAAACGCAGGACACCGACAGACGAGGUGGAGGCGCGAGCGGCGCCUGAGCCCCCGCAGGAGGCGGGCGGCGGCGCAUCAGCGCCCUGAGCCCGGCGGUGGGAGACGGUCGCCGUGGUCACAGGCUGCGUGGAGGACGCUGAUAAGAGCAGCGCUCGCGGCAGGAGGAGGGGGGGGGGUGUCGAGGGUGACUCACCGCUUCACCCGCUCCGUGCGCUCGGCCCCCGCUUCAUGCCUCCAUGCUGCUCAUCUGAUUCUGGGGCGUCCACGUUGAAGAAGAGCUGCACAGAUAGACCUCUAAUCCUGCUCCAUUGUCUCUGGAUGCCGCUUUACGGAGGGUGAGGACGUGAACAGAAGGGGAAAGCAGACAUUAUAAUUAGAAAGUCCCCUAUUAACACUGGUGGUAAAAUUCACAGUGUUUACUCUUCCACCUGAACCUUUCGCUAUAUAAAGAUGAUUUUCUUCAGCCUUGAAGCUCUUGUUGUCAUCAUAUAAUAAAACAAAUAUAUGCAUGACCAAUGGCAAGCACAUCUUUUAACA